GCCAGCCACAAGAUUAGAUUUCUUAGGGUCGUCAUAGACGAUGACGUUGAUAGGAUGCAGGUGUACAGGCAGCGAUGUCAUAGCCGAGCAUUACUAAUUGCCCGUUCACUUUUGGUUU
rnacentral:ncRNA from 1 species